GAUAAGAAUCCCACUCAAUAGUCCUAUGAGAAGAGUCUGAACACAGCAGGCUUUAAUUUUCUUGUCAGGAAGAAACAUGCGAAGAGCCUUCUGAAAGAACCCCACUGCCACAAAUCGUCUCAUCUCCACAGCCGUGGAAGAUUGUGUCCCAUCACCUAUCUGGAUAUGAGACUCCUGAACAGACUCAGUCCCAGAGGCCCCAUCAUAUGCGUCGUCUAUUCUCGUAAAGUUUAAUUCACAGGCCUCCAAGGGACAAACUAAGACCCAGGGGCCAACUGCUCAUCGCCUGUUUUCAUAUGGCCCAUGAGAAAUAAAGAUCUGGCAAUUCCCAUGCUAUGAUACCUCUUUUUCCCAGAGGAAUUAAAUGAAAGAGAAUCAGUUUGUGACACACAUCAGUUAUGAAGGUUCAUAGAAACUUUGAACAUCUUUCCCAUCACUUCAUCCUUUAUGAAGACCCCUGACUAAAGCGAUUGAAAAGUGCUGUUUAUGUAAAAUGGCCAUGGCCCGUAAUAUUGGAACAUUUCUUGGAAGAUAAGAGAAUGGAUACCUCUUAAAAGUGACAGAAUUCAUUUCAUAUCCUGUUACUUCCAGAAACUUUCUUCUGCUAUUUUUUAAAUGUGAUUUGCUGUUUCUGAGGAAGCAAGCUCAUCCCCAGCAGAUUUAGAAGAUAAAUUUCUACUAGAUUACUGAACACGAUAAUUAAUUUUAAGAGUGCCAAAGUACAUGUUUCUGCCACCUGUAAAAGUUAGUCUUUAUGUGAUUUAGUGCCAAGGAUGAUUUCAUGUAACAAGGGAUAGUUACUGUCUCAUACCCUCUCUAUACUCUCUAUACUCAAAUUCUUGACCUGAAUGUCAAAUUUUCACUAAUGUAGAAGCCAGAGCAAAAAUACCAAAUUUUGAGGGAAAAUACUGUAAAAAUUUAUUUACCACCUAAAUGAUUUUUUUCAGAUUUGUGGUAUUUUUUUACUGUAUUACGUCUCCUUACUGUAUUAAUAUUUCUGUAUUAUGCAAAUGUUUUCCCAUUUACUUUCUGAAUAUGAUGAGAUAAAUGGUGGUCUGUGUUGAAAGGAGAAAAGCAAGCACUGAAAAUCUUUAUUUGUAAAAAAUGUCCCAGGCAAUGAUUUCCAUCAUUACAUGUCCUAUUCUUGGUUUGCUCUUCCAGUGAGCAGUGUCAGGAAGGAGAACUUCAACAGUACCAAGUCUUAUAUUCAGAACAUUGUGUUCCCUCAUCCUUUGUUUCUGGAACAUUUUUUGAUUAUAAGAAAAGGGCAAUAGUGUGAUGUCAUGUUUCAAGAGAAAGUAGGUUAUCUUAUGGCUCUUAAAGAUAACAUUUACCCAAUCACUGCAAAGGAGUUUUCAGAGUUUACAUCUACUGACCUAUAGAGUGUAAAUGGAUUUAUGUUCUGUAGGUUAAAUCAGUCACACAAGGAAAGAUUAUAAGGAACAGGUGCAUAACCAAUGUUUCCAAUAUUCUGAGCUGCUCCAACAGAAAGAGAUAACAAUAGCUAAAAUUUAUAUAGCAUUUAUUAUGUGCCGGGCAAUAUUUUAGGAAUUGCACAUUAAUUCAAGUAGUCUUCACAGCAGCUCUCUGAGUUAUGUACAAUGACAAUUUGAUGCCCAUUUCAUAAACAGGAGCACAGAAAGAUUACACAACUUGCUCAAUGUCAUGAUAUAGCUUCAUUAAAUGGCGAGGGGUGGAAGCAGAAUCUGCACACUGAUGGUCUGGUGCUAAAGUAAGGCUCUUGAUCACUGCUCUAGACUGCUUAACUACUAGAGUAAUAUGAUCAUAAAAAGGGGUAAGUAACAUAUUUACAUUUUUCAAAAUAACUGUGGAGACAUGAAUUAAAACAAAAUAGGAACUUUGAAUCUUUCCCUUUUAUGGGAUAUCAAGAAAGCUAGUUACAAUGUUUUGUCCAUGAAAAAUUUAUUUGAAGGCUUGUUUAUAAAAAUAAUCUUCUGAGCUCAAACCUUAUUCCGGAAGAUCAAUGUCUGCAUGGUACAUGGUACACAAUUUAAUUUUCCCAGUUGAACAUUCUGACAAUAUAUGAACCAUGAAUGCAUGAAAUAGAAAUUCCAAAUGUCUUCCACAUGCAAAGAGAAUAUUCCAAUACUUGUGCAGGAAGCUGAAGAGUAGUUUGAAAUUAAGUUGUGCCUGUUCUUAGUGACUUUUAUUAUGUAUGCCUAAGGUAUUAGCACUUUCUCUGAGUGGGACUCUGAGGUGAUAGAUAGAUGAGCCUGCUGUCUGUAUUUAGGCACUUUGCUCAUUUCCUGAGAGCUGUGUGGAAAGCAUGUGGAUGCUCAUUAGGUUUCCAACCAUUCUCCUAGAGCAACAGGUGGUGGAUCAAAGCUUCCCUGGUAUGCCAUGGCUGGGUUCCUCAAGUCUUGGAAAUAAUGAUGGCCUUUGCAUGCUCUCUGGAGUACCAGCAGAUAAGGAGGUGAAUAGCAGCAGGAAGUAUUUCCACAGCAUAAACAAACACACAAGUCUAGGAAGCUUAUGAGUAAUGUCCUUGCUACCACAUAUUCUAAAUCCGUACAUGGUGGUUCCCUCUCUAAAUAUUGUUACUCGUUCAAACUAUAAAAUUAUGGGUAACUGUCCUGUGGUUAGCAACCUAAUAAAAGUGAGGUAUAUAAAGGAAUAAAGGACAUCCCAGGCUAGUGAAGCUAUAUCAUAAAAUCAUAAAGUUUUAACACAUUUAUAAAUAUCCACUGACUACUAAUGACAAUGUCUUAAAUUGCCUCCUUUAAAAAUUAUUUAAUUAUACUGAGCACCUACCACAUUGUAUGGAAAGAAUAUUGCUACAACUUGAAAGAGAACAAGAAGACAAGCUAAUUACACCAAAAACAGAAUCUGUGAUUUAAAUCAAAUACUGGAUAGUUACUUAACAGUACUUGAUAAUCACACAGAAAAGUAUCUCUAGUGAAUAUGAAAAGGCUUUUGCCAAUUGAUUGCUUAUUGUCACUAUAGUCACUAGUCAAAGUUAGAAAAACAAAGGAAAAUAUCACCUGUACUAUUGUGACAAAAUACAUCUGGCAAUUUUCUACAGCAGAGGAAUAAAAGCAUUCACUGGAGGUGGCAAAUCACCACCAUCUUUCUAACUUCAAAAAGUUCAAAACAUUCAGUAGUUCACAUAUGGCUGGGGAAAUGCUAUGGGAUAUUUUUCAUGGGUGACAUAAAAUAAA